rnacentral:misc_RNA from 1 species
UUGUUUUUUGGUUUUUUUUUUUUUGAAGAAAGAAGUACAAAUUCUUAAUAUGCACCAUGAUAAGCAUAGAGCAUAUAUCGCAUCUAUUCCAAACAAAAUUGCAGGUGAAAAUAAUACCUAUACUGUUGGUUUUCAUUACAACAUCCAACAAGCUUUCUCCAAGCAUGGAUGACGAGAGCAAUGCUUUGAGCGCCCACUUGUACCCACACAUGAUAUCUCAAACGAAUGUAAGUACUGCCUAUCCAUUCAUUGAUUUUGCUCUCACGUUGUAUCUCUAGUAGAAAGUUUGCAGGAUUCUAAAUACAGCGAGGAGGUUGCCCAAAUGUCCAUUCAUUCCAGAAACAUUAAUUUACUGCGCUUCAAUCCUUGUGUCCAAAUAUCGUACCUGAUGAAACCAUGUACUCGACUCAUCAAAGAGGGCAACAUAUUUCCAGUUACUGAUGGUUAGAUUAGGCUCCUUUUUUCUUUUUGUCUUUGGAUGGUUUUACAUCUUUUGUGAGCAUCCUUGGUG